GAUGAACGCUGGCGGCGUGCCUAAUACAUGCAAGUCGAACGAAAAGAUAAUGAGCUUGCGCCUUUGACGUUAGCGGCGGACGGGUGAGUAACGCGUGGAUAACCUACCUAUAUUACUGGAAUAAUUACGGAAAACCGGUGACAAUGCCGGAUAACAUUUAGAACCGCAUGGUUCUAAGGAGAAAGAUGGCUUUGCUGUCUCUAAUAGAUGGUCCCGCGCCGUAUUAGCUAGUUGGUAAGGUAACGGCCUACCAAGGCAACGAUACGUAGCCGACCUGAGAGGGUGAUCGGCCACACUGGAACUGAGACACGGUCCAGACUCCUACGGGAGGCAGCAGUAGGGAAUCUUCGGCAAUGGGCGAAAGCCUGACGCAGCAACGCCGCGUGAGUGAUGAAGGCCUUCGGAUCGUAAAACCCUGUUAUUGGGGAAGAACAACUGUGGAAGUAAACGUGCACGUCUUGACGGUACCUAAUCAAAAAGCAACGGCUAACUACGUG
rnacentral:rRNA from 1 species